CUUACAGAUGCCUUGUUUGGUGAGCUCUUGUAAUUUUUGUUUCAUUUAUGUAUUUGCAAACAACACCUCACCUAUUCACAGGAUUGUGACUCAGAGCUGAGAAAUAAAUACAUUUCCCUGUUACCACUGAUCAGGAUGUUUACUUCAACUUUUUGACCUUUUUUUCUUCUAAGCAAAGUCAUGUGGCCUGCAUCUUUAAAACCUGGACUGAAGAAUUUUGCCAAACAGAAAGAGAAGAAUUGGUUUAGAAACCGAGUUUCUUGUCAUGGUGCCCUACAUUUUCAGUUAGAGAUUCUCCAGCGUUGGGUCUUGCUGCUUCUGGUGUUGUCUCAGUACAUAUGCUACUAUGAAACAGAAUCAAGCUUGGAGACGGAUUUUAAAUGAAAAAGAUCCUUUUCACUCAACCUGCUGUUGUUAGCCCAGAAACCAAUAGAGCUGAUGCAAGAGAUUCCAGCACUUUCUACCAGACAGUGUUUACACUUCAGGGCUGAUUUCCUACCCAGAUUAAUAAAAAUAACCACCACAACAUAAAAAUUGCUUUGUGGGCUUGCUUCCUGCAUGCCACUGCUG
rnacentral:lncRNA from 1 species